rnacentral:rRNA from 1 species
GAUGAACGCUAGCGGGAGGCCUAACACAUGCAAGCCGAGCGGUAUUGUUUCUUCGGAAAUGAGAGAGCGGCGUACGGGUGCGUAACACGUGUGCAACCUGCCUUUAUCUGGGGGAUAGCCUUUCGAAAGGAAGAUUAAUACUCCAUAAUAUAUUGAACGGCAUCGUUUAAUAUUGAAAGCUCCGGCGGAUAGAGAUGGGCACGCGCAAGAUUAGCUAGUUGGUGAGGUAACGGCUCACCAAGGCGAUGCUCUGUAGGGGGCCUGAGAGGGUGAUCCCCCACACAGGGACUGAGACACGGACCAGACUCCUCCGGGAGGCAGCAGUGAGGAGUAUUGGUCAAUGGGUGCAAGCCUGCACCAGCCAUCCCGCGUGAAGGACGACUGCCCUAUGGGUUGUAAACUUCUUUUGUAUAGGGAUAAACCUACCCUCGUGAGGGUAGCUGAAGGUACUAUACGAAUAAGCACCGGCUAACUCCGUGCCAGCCGCCGCCGUAA